rnacentral:rRNA from 2 species
GGCUCAGACAGCCAGGAUGUUGGCUUAGAAGCAGCCAUCAUUUAAAGAAAGCGUAAUAGCUCACUGGUCGAGUCGGCCUGCGCGGAAGAUGUAACGGGGCUAAGUAGUAAACCGAAGCUGCGGCAAUGCACUUUGUGCAUUGGGUAGGGGAGCGUUCUGUAAGCGGUUGAAGGUGUGUGGUAACGCAUGCUGGACGUAUCAGAAGUGCGAAUGCUGACAUGAGUAACGAUAAAGGGGGUGAAAAACCUCCUCGCCGGAAGACCAAGGGUUCCUGUCCAACGUUAAUCGGGGCAGGGUAAGUCGACCCCUAAGGCGAGGCCGAAAGGCGUAGUCGAUGGGAAACGGGUUAAUAUUCCCGUACUUCUUACAAUUGCGAUGGGGGGACGGAGAAGGCUAGGUGGGCCUGGCGACGGUUGUCCAGGUUCAAGUGCGUAGGCUGAGAAAUUAGGUAAAUCCGGUUUCUCUUAAGGCUGAGACACGACGUCGAGCUACUACGGUAGUGAAGUCAUUGAUGCCAUGCUUCCAGGAAAAGCCUCUAAGCUUCAGAUUGUAAGGAAUCGUACCCCAAACCGACACAGGUGGUCGGGUAGAGAAUACCAAGGCGCUUGAGAGAACUCGGGUGAAGG